UACGAAGGGUGCAAGCGUUAAUCGGAAUUACUGGGCGUAAAGCGCGCGUAGGUGGUUGGGUAAGUUGGAUGUGAAAGCCCCGGGCUCAACCUGGGAACUGCAUCCAAAACUGCCUGGCUAGAGUACGGUAGAGGGUGGUGGAAUUUCCUGUGUAGCGGUGAAAUGCGUAGAUAUAGGAAGGAACACCAGUGGCGAAGGCGACCACCUGGACCGAUACUGACACUGAGGUGCGAAAGCGUGGGGAGCAAACAGGAUUAGAAACCCCAGUAGUCC
rnacentral:rRNA from 1 species